GGCGGAAAGAUCGUACUCCAUGGCUCCGGAAAAGUCACAAGGAGGGGCUCAAUUACUCAGAAACGAACAAGAAAGGGAAGAAGAAGCUCAAUGUGAAACGUGGUCGACCCAGGUGAUCAAAAACUUACAUUUAUAUAUUUGUAUAUAUUUUGUGUACGCACUUAAGUAACUGUUAUCGGUCAACUGAUAUGUUACCACAUGAAGGUAAAUUCCGGUGAUAUUCGAGCAUAGGGGGGAGAGGGAGACGCCGUCGUCGGGAGAAAAACAAAUAAUAAAAAGAAAAGUAAAGUAAACAGAAAAGGAAAAUAAGAAAAAGAAAAGAAAAU
rnacentral:lncRNA from 1 species